rnacentral:rRNA from 1 species
GUGCCAGCAGCCGCGGUAAGACGAAGGGUGCAAGCGUUACUCGGAAUUACUGGGCGUAAAGCGUGCGUAGGUGGUUAUUUAAGUCCGUUGUGAAAGCCCUGGGCUCAACCUGGGAACUGCAGUGGAUACUGGAUGACUAGAUGACUAGAAUGUGGUAGGGGGUAGCGGAAUUCCUGGUGUAGCAGUGAAAUGCGUAGAGAUCAGGAGGAACAUCCAUGGCGAAGGCAGCUACCUGGACCAACAUUGACACUGAGGCACGAAAGCGUGGGGAGCAAACAGGAUUAGAUACCCUAGUAGUCC